UACGUAGGGGGCAAGCGUUAUCCGGAAUUAUUGGGCGUAAAGAGUGCGUAGGUGGUUACCUAAGCGCAAGGUUUAAUCUUGAGGCUCAACCUCAUUCUGCCUUGCGAACUGGGCUACUUGAGUGCAGGAGGGGAAAGCGGAAUUCCUAGUGUAGCGGUGAAAUGCGUAGAUAUUAGGAAGAACACCGGUGGCGAAGGCGGCUUUCUGGACUGUAACUGACACUGAGGCACGAAAGCGUGGGGAGCAAACGGGAUUAGAUACCCGCGUAGUCCCUGAGCGGG
rnacentral:rRNA from 1 species